rnacentral:lncRNA from 1 species
GUGCUGCGGAGCCACCGUCUGGUCGUCGGGUUGAAGGCGUCUCUUGCUUUACCGAACUUUAACUGAUCGUAGUCUCAUUUAUUUCCUUCCGACCUAGAGCACCUCUUAUCCAGAAGCCACCACCUGCUGUUGCUCAGUCUGCCCAGGAGUAUAGACUUGUCGGCCAAGCUUCCCCUGGCAACCUGGGAGUUGAAGCAAAUAAGAAAAUUUGGAAGCACCUGCUGAAGGCUGUUUAGUACCCAGGGCUGUUGGGAGAUUUGCCCCAAUAAUAUAAAAGUAGCCUCCUGGGCUUUGUGCAGAGGAAAUACACAUGCAGAGUGAUCUAAAGCUCAGGUACCAGGAUGUAAAUGUCACACGGUUUCUCAGAACUGGUUUUUAUUCUCACCUGAGUUUUAAGGUCAUUGAUUAUUCAUCCUUUUCCUGGCCUCUGCUCUUUGCGAUAAAUGAGGUAGGGGGAGGGUGAUCAGAAACACUUGUAAAAUCUGGACCUUGAGCCUGAAAGAUCUGGAACUACCACUUUCAGUUCUGGUAGUA